rnacentral:lncRNA from 1 species
AGAAAAAAGUGGUGGUGUAAAUCCAGUUAUUAUUACAGUUCGUUGUGAAGUCUUAUUGCAGAGGGGAGGAAUGACCUGCGGUAGCGCUCCGUCCUGCAAGGUGGAAGUCUAAGUCUGCUGCUGAAGGAGCUGCUUAAAGCCCCCACAGUCUGAUUCAGUGGGUGAGAGGGAUUGUCCAUGAUGGAUACAAGCUUUGUUAACAUCCUCCUCUCACCCACCUCCUCCAGGGAGUCCAAAGAACAGUCCAGGACAGAGCUGGCCCUCCUGACCAGUUUGUUCAGUCUCUUCCUGUCCCUCUCGGUGCUCCCUGCCCCCCAGCAGACCACCACAUAGAAAAGUGCAGAUGCUUCCACAGAGUCAUAGAAAGUCCUGAGCAGAGUCCUGCACACUCCAAAAGACCUCAGUCUCCUCAGCAGGUGGAGAUGACUUUGGCCCUUCUUGUACAAAGCGUCUGUGUUUGUUGACCAGUCCAGUUUGUUGUUGAGGUGGAGACCCAGGAAUCUGUUAGACUCCACCAUCUCAAUGUCCAGACCCUGGAUGUUCACUGGAACAGUCUGAGGUGUCCCCCUCCUGCGGAAAUCCACAACCAUCUCCUUUGUCUUACUGGCGUUGAGCUGGAGGUGGUUUGUGCCACACCAGUUGACAAAGUCAGUGAUGACAGUCCUGUAUUCCCGCUCAUCCCCUGACGAUACACAUCCGACGAUGGCUGUGUCAUCAGAGAACUUCUGGAGGUGACAGCUCCCAGAGUUGUAGCUGAAGUCUGAGUAGAGCACUGUCCCCUGUGGAGCCCCCGUGCUGCAGACCACCAAGUCCGAUACACAGUUCUGAAGCCUCACAAACUGUGGUCUGUCGGUGAGGUAGUCCACGGUCCAUGCGGCUAGGUGACAGUCCACUCCCGCCCGCUCGAGCUUCCCCCUGAGCAUUGAAGGCUGGAUGGUGUUGAAAGCACUGGAGAAGUCAAAAAACAUGACCCUCACAGUGCUGCCGGUAUUCUCCAAGUGGGCCAUGGACCUCUGCAGCAGGUAGAUGACUGCGUCGUCCACCCCAAUGUUCGGCUGGUCUGCAAACUGCAGAGGAUCCAGAUGAGAGCUCACCAGGGGGCGGAGGUUCCUCAGCACGAUCCUCUCCAGAGUCUUCAUCAGGUGAGAAGUGAGGGCCACAGGUCUGAAGUGGUUGGGCUCCCUGGGGUGUGCUGUCUUGGGGACAGGAAUCACGCAGGAAGUCUUCCACAGUGUUGGGACCCUCUCCAGACUCAGGCUCAAGCUGAAGAUGCGCAGUAGCACCUCACAGAGCUGGUCUGCACAGUCCUUCAGGAGUCUGGAGCUGAUGCCGUCAGGGCCCGUGGCUUUCCUUGGCUUCAUCUUCCUCAGCUCACUUCUCACCUGGUCAGCUGUUAUGGAGAGGCUGGGGGUGGUGCUGGAGGGGGUGGUGGUGGAUGAGUGGAGGGGGGUUGAUGAUGCUGGUGCCAUGGGACUGAGGUGGUGUGAAGAAGAAGCAGCAGACAGGUCGUUGGUUUGAUGAGUCGGGGGAGGAGUGGGAGCAGAGUUAAAUCUAUUGAAGAACAGAUUCAGCUCGUUGGCCCACUCCCUGUCUCCUGCUUCAGGUCCCCUCUCAUAGCCCCUGCUAUGACCUGAGAUGGAUUUCAGGCCUCUCCAGACCUCCCUUGCGUUGUUCUGUUGCAAAAAGUUUUCCAUCUUGGUCUUGUAGCUGGCCUUUCCCUCUCUGAUCUUCUUCUUCAGCUCCUUCUGCACCCUCCUCAGCUCCUCCUUGUCCCCAGAUUUAAAGACCCUCCUCUUCUACUUCAGGAGGUUUAUAUAGUCUGUGAUACAGUCUGUCAUGGUGUCGAUGUCAUCACCAUGUGGGCCGCACAGUACAUCCCAGUCUGUGGUCUCAAAACAGUCCUGCAGCGCCUCAGUGGCCUCCUCAGACCACCUCUUAACAUACCUGAUGGUGGGGGGUUGUUUCUUCACCAUAGGUAUGUAAAUGGGCUGCAGUCUCACCAGGUUGUGAUCUGAGCGGCCCAGCGGGGGGAGGGGGGAGGAGGUGUAUGCAUCCUUGGUGUUUGCAUACAGUAAGUCCAAAGUUUUAUUGUCUCUUGUUGGGCAGUUUACAUACUGGCUGAAGGUAGGGAGAGUGGAGGAGAGCGAUGCAUGAUUAAAGUCUCCAGAGAUGAUGAUCAGAGACUGAGGGUGUGAUGUUUGUAGCUUGGACACUUCACUAUGGAGGAGUUCACAGGCUGCAGCAGCAUCAGCCGAGGGGGGGAUGUAAACAGUUAACGCGAUGACGUGCGAAAACUUCCUCGGCAGGUAAUAUGGCCGCAAACUCACAGCCAGCAGCUCAAUGUCCUUAGAGCAGAGCUGCUCUUUAACACUGACGUGCCCAGAAUUACACCAUCUCUCAUUCACAUACACCGGUAUCCCGACUCCUUUCUUCUUACCACUCUCCCUCACGCUCCGGUCCGCUCUGACGAGGUGAAAUCUGUCCAAAGUUACGAGCGGGAGUGAGUUCGUUCAGCCAUGACUCCGUGAACAUCAUGAGGCUGCACUCGCGAUAUUCUCACUGCAGCCUAGUCAGCGCUGUGAGCUCUUCCAUCUUGUUGGGGAGAGACCUCAUGUUUCCCAUGAUGAUGGACGGGACAGUUGGUUUAUAACGUCUCCGCUUUGCCCGAUGCUGAACUCCAGCCCUGCAUCCUCUUCUUCUCCUGCGGAGCUUCGCGGGGAUGUCCGGUCUCUCCCACGAAGGUAGCCGGGCCUGGCGCAGCGCCAACAGCUGUUCACGGCUGUAAACAAUGGGGCCGCUGAAUGGGUCGCCGGUCGCGGACUUAAAAACUCUGAAAAGUAAAAGAAAACAAAGUGCAAGAGUCAUGAAAUGCACAUCCAUGGUUGGAAUAUGCAAGACACAACACUGCUGAAAAAAAGAAAGACAAAUAAGGUGCCAAAAAACAGCAAUAAGAAGGCAAAAACGUAAAGUCUGUGAGGAGCUGAUGUGACUUGCUGCCACUCUCAGGGCGCUCGAGUCACAGUCCUUUUUUUAAUGUUUUUUCUCUAUAUUUAUAGUCUUACCUGCACACCCCAUAUUCAAGACUUAACAUCCAUUUGCUAGUUCUCCAAAUAUAUAUGGACGUUGAACGUGACAUGAAAACGGACUUCAGAGUGUCAAAGCAGGCUUUCAACGGUCUUUUAAGCAUUUUGGAUGAAAGAAGGGAUCAUUGCUGGGGACAUCAUUUAGAAGUGCUGAUUUUUGUUUACUGGCUGGCCUAUGGGGUGUCUUAUCAUGUAACAACCCAGGCAUUUGAUGUUCUGAAGUCAACGGUGUUCACAGUUAUCCACAGAAUAGCAAAAGAAAUCCAAAGAUGCAAAUCCAAGGUGAUUUUUUUUCCCAUUUCAAGGAGCAUUGGAGGAUAUUGGUUGAGGAUUUGGGGAGCUGGCACAGCACAGACCUUCAAUAAGACUUUGGGGGCAAUAGAUGGAUGCCACAUUAGAAUAAAACCACCCAAGCAAUAUCAACAGGAUUCUUUUAAUUUCAAACAGUUUCAUUCAAUCCAAAUGCAAGCCAUAUGUGACUCCUUCGGGAGAUUUGUGGGAUAUGGUGGCUCCGUGCAUGAUGCGUGUAUUGAGAAACAGCCCUGUUGAUGUUAUUUCCCUGUAUCCCCCCCACCUGUUUUUUUUUCUUUUGGGAGAUGGAGGCUACCCUUGUCUUGAGCAUCCUAAUACCACUAUAACACCUUUUUGACAACCACUGCAAGGAAGGAUGCAGCAGCGAUUCAACAUCAAACAUGCAAAGACCUGGGGCCUCAUGUAUCAACACUUGCGUGGGACUCAUACCAGAAACGAGCGCACGCAAGGUCCGUCACGCUGAAAAAAAUCUGUAUGUAUCAAUGUGUGCGGGCGCCGAAAUCCACGUGUGUUUCCUUGAUAAAUCCCAGUCAGCGUGGAAUUGAGCGCAGAUGUCGGAGUGAGCGGGCCAGCCCCCGUUAUGCCCUCCUAUAAAUAUGCAGAUUUAUUUAAAUAGGGUCUCCCUGUCCUCGCACGCAGAGAAAAUGACAAGAAAAACUAAAUUUACGGCGUGCGAGGUGGAGGUGCUGGUGGCGGAGGUGGAGGAGCGACAGCGUGUUUUGUUUGGCAGCCUGUCCAGUGGCGUCAGUGCAAAACGAAAACGCUUGGAGUGGGAGAAAGUUUGUCAGAGGGUGAACGCGGUGGGUUCCGAGACACGCACCCCCGCGGAGAUUAAAAAAAAAGUGGUCGGACCUCAAGGUGGAGGUCAAGCGGCGUACAGCUGCCCUCCGGAGGAGUACCGGCCAGACAGGAGGGGGUCCGGGGGAGGAGACCCUCACGCCGUUUGAGCAGCGGGUGGUGGCGAUUAUUAUUAUAGGGUAAGUGGCGUGUCACACAAAUGUCCACAUGCUUUGCCAUCCCACUGAGCAAAAGACGUAUAUUAGACUUCUAGUCUAAGUUUAUACUUCAUUUCAACGUCGGGAUUCAGUCUAUUUUUAGACGUGAUUUAUACUUCGCCCUUAACUUCAUUUUUGAUAACUUUUUAUGCAAUAAACAACUGUAAUGUGCAUAACUGACCUCUAAAUACUGGAUUACAUUACCUAUGAUACCGCGGAGAGAGAUGUAAACGCAACAGAUACACAGAAGCAGGAAUUGAAAUGAACCAAUAUUUUUAUUGUGUCACAGAAAUCAAUGUGUCUGCCGUGUCGCCGGCUUGCAGAACCCCGGCCCGCGGCAGCCCGUCCGCCGGCUCAGAGUCGUCGGCCAGGACCAGCGGCAUUCGGGCCACCCCGGCCCCAGCACCAGCACCAGCACCAGCAUCAGCACCAGCGUGCCGACAAGCGGUGGAGCGUCCACCAGCCGCGGCGCUUCCGCUGGACCACCCGGACGCACACUGGAAGGGUCCUCACGGAGGCGGUCCUGCAAUCGCAGGAAGAAAUCAUCAGGGGGAUCGCGGGGAUCAAUGAGCGGCUGGACCGGCUUGUAAAUGUCCUCGAGCGUCUGGUGGCGAAAAUAAAUUAAUUUGGCUCAUUGAACUGUGUAUUCACUUCUUACCCAUUCACACUGUGGCGAUGAGAUUCUCCCGCGCGAGGACGGCAGCCCGGCAGGGAUCAGCUCGCAUCCCUCCGUCUGCUGCUGGUUCGUCAUGUGGGGCGACGUGCUGCUUGGCCACGGGGAUGUGGUGCACGCUUGUCACAUAGUGAGUCACCAAACACCGCCACACAGCGUCGCCAAAGUGCCGUCAACGCAAGUAUCAGCUCAACGCCAACUUCUACACCACCUCCUUAGUUUGCGUUGAUUAGCGCUGGAACCGACGCUCGUUUCGCGAUGAUAAAUCUGGACGUGUGCGCCGAUUUUGGCGUACACAAGGUUUUCUGGCGCCGCCAGCGUUGAUACAUAAGGCCCCUGGUCUGUUGCUGUCACUUCUCUUUCCUUCCUUAAGUUGAUCUGAAGUUGUAAAUAAUGUUUUCAGUAGGUAAAUAAACAGUAUCAGGUUUAGCAGAAGAUACUUAACUUCCCCAUUUUCCUAAGCUCCUAAGGAAUUCAAGACAUUCUAAUCUUCAUUGACAUUGAGACGAACGCCCACUAUAAGGACGCCCCCCUUUGAAGUCAGACUUUCCUAACUAAAACCCAUAUAGGUUUUUUUGCAAUGGGAAAGAUGUAUCCAACUACUUCUUUGUGCUAUUUUUAUUGCUGUGGGUGUCAUUAGCAGUACCUUUUUUUUUUUUUUACUCCUUCCACUUACUUCAACGUAUUCAAAAACCAUUCAAACUUCAGGAGAUUCCAGCUUAUAUUCAAAAUUUUCCCAACAUUCAUAUUUUCCGAGAUAUUCCAGGUUUUCCAACCAUUUUUUUUUAAUUAGAAAUGCAUUACGGAAUUUUCAAAUUGGCCCUUUUCUCACAUUUUCUUUACACAACUUUAAAAGCCUUCAACUCCUCUAUACUUCCAGAUUAUGAUCAUUUUAAUUUUCCAGUUUUAAAUCAUUACAUUCUUCACUCAGUAUUCAAUUUUUUCAAACUAAUUCCAACUCAUUUAAACCUUUCUGAAUCUUCAAAUCUCAUAUCUUUCACAUAAUUUUUUAACUUAAACCAUUUACAAUAGCAGCUUAGCGAUAGCAAUUUCAGCUGGAGCAAUCCAUCUCGCAGUUUCUUCAGGAAUUGCAUUUUCUAGUUAUUAUUAUUUAUUUAUUUAUUUAUUUAUUUAUUUAUUUCAUUUACAAAAUGAGUUCCAUUGUCACUGUAGAUUUGUUUUGGAAUGCCAAAUCAAGGAAUUAUUUCUCUACACAGGAUUUUUGCUACUGUUAAUGCAUCUGGGUGGGUGACAGGAAAUAAUUCUAUCCAUUUAGUGAAAGGAUCUAUUCACACUGAACAGUAUUUCUUUCUCUCACACUGAUUUAAUUCUAUGGAGUCCAUGUGUAUGGCUUCAAAUAAUGCAUUGGUUGGUGGACAUUGGCCUCUUUUUGGUUUUCUACUGUCUUGAGCAUUAUGUCUAGCACAAACUAAACAAAUCAAACAAAAUUAUUAUUAUUAUUAUUUUUUUUGAAUAAUUUACGAAUCAAUAGGGGGUCAAGUGUUGAUUAACUACCACACUCAUCCCUCCUGUCGAGACAUGGCAAGGCCCAUGACUCGCUAUUACUACCUCUAAAGCUCUGUUUGCUGAUCUGACAAAAAUCUUUUGUUUGGAAAACCUAAUCUGUGGUAGUUUAUGUCUAAGAACUGUUUUUUGUUUGUUUUUUUGUUUUUUUUGCACUGGAGUCACACAAAAAGGUUACAGGUAAACCAUGAAUCAUUAACUAUAUCUGUGGUUUUGUGUCUGCAUAAUGUAUUCCUUCUCCAACAGACUGUUGCAGCUCCACUGUCAAAGGGACAGACACAGGAAAACUUUCCUGCCACAAGCUAUUGCACUGUUCAAUAACUCAUAUAUGUCAGACAGGGACUCACACCUGUCUGCUUUAUAGUACUUUUUUUUUUUUUUUUUUUUAACUCCUAUCACAUCAUAAUACCGAGCACCUUAAAUUGUCUGUAUAUCUAUCAUCCCAUCUGUAAUAUUACUCAUUCCAUAUUUAUUACUCAUUUCAUAUUUAUUACUCAUUUCAAUAGCCCACGUUCUUCAUAUCUCACUUUUAUCCCUUAGGAUGUUUAGUAUAUUUAGUCUGUAUUUCUUGUAUAUACUUAGUAUUUUUAGUAUUUUUAGUCUGCAUUGUACUUCUUCUUAUAUUUAAUUUUAUUUUGUAUUUUCUUUUUGCUGCUGUACCAAGAGAAUUUCCCAGUUUGGGAUCAAUAAAGUAUAUUUAUCUAUCGAUGUAUAAAAUAUAUAUUUAUAAUUAUUUAUCUCCUCCAAGUUUAGCACUUCUUCCUCCUCUGUUUCUUCUCUGUUCACACUUUCUCUUCAUUUCUGUCGAAUAACACUUGCUGUCUCUCCCUCUUCUAGUCAUGCUUGAUACUUUUUUCUACAGCUCUUCACCUAGUGACAAAAAGCUCUGCAAUUCUCUGAUGGUGUGGUUCAUGACCUUGGUCAGGGUACUAUUCUUCAUCUCUUUGCUCUUGUGAUUCAUAACCUUUGUCAAAACUUCUACUUCCUCUAUCGUUUUCUCUAUUGAAAUUCCUGCCUCUGAAACUGCUUCUUUCUUGUUCUCUCUGUCAUAGUCAUCAAAUGGUUUAUCAUCUCGCCUAUUAUCCCAUAGUCGUCCUAUUUAUCUCAUGUAGUAUGAAAUUCAUUGUCACAUUUGGAGUUAAUCUUACGUUAAAUGGUAUUAUAGGGAGGGCUUUAAUUCCAAGUUAGCUUUAGUGUUCUCUGCACUUUACUACGGUUACUUCUUUAAGUUCCAAUAAGGUAUAAUAUCAAUCAGUUGGUUCAAAUGUUUAACAGGGAUGCCAGCUGAGGUCAGAAAACCUCUUCUUCUCCAACGACACUUGUCUACAUGUACAACAUACACUUCAUAGACUGUAACAGUUUAGUCACAGUUUUGUCUUUUGACAGCUACAUGCUUCUGCAUAGGGAGGGAUUCUUUGGCUGCUGUGUCUCUGGAGGAGUCAAGGUCGGAACUGGCAUUUGAUGUAUCAUUUUAUCAUUUGUGCAGAGAACAUAGACUGUACAGAGAAUUUAACUUGCUAAAAAUUUGCAGUCUGCAUUAAACCUUUCUGCCUUUUUAACUGCCUUUUCUACCUUUAUUUUCUGCAUUAUUAUCAUUAUUAUUAUUAUAAUUAUUAUUAUUAAAGUUGUCUUUACUUAUAGCUUUUUUGUUUAUAGAGACAUGCAGUUUAUUUAAUUGGCUUGUUCUUAGGCUGCCGUCAAACCCAAAUUUGAUUACUCAUAAUUCGAGAAAUUGUAACUUUUCUGGCUUUUUCUCAAAGAUUUUCCAAUCUUGACAUCUUAAUUCUUCUAAUUUAGCCUUACUGGCUUCCAUCCCCUUUUUUUGUUGUUUUGGUCCAGCCUAGGUGACACCUAGGGUGUCCUAUUAAGCUGGGUUCUUUCAAUGGGGUAGUGAUAAAAAUUCCUUAUGUGGUAAUUCUCGCUUCUACUCUUGCGAGUGGAGAAUUCUUGCCUUUGCUUCCACAAUAAGGUCACUUCUUACAAUCCCACUGUUUUGGUAUGAAUAGGAUAUAUCUAGUGAUAUAUCUCUAUUCCAAUCACUCUCACACUUUCACAAUCACACUUUUAACACGUGUUUUGCUCUGCAGAAUGUUCUCAAUCAGGCCUUUGUCCACGGCACAACACCGGAACCGCGCGUCUUCCUCGGAAUUUAAACUACAUCUAAGAUGUGUCCGAAUUGGGCCAACGUGUUUAGUAUGUAGGAGUAGGAUCUAGCAGUAGCACGUAGCAGUAGCAUGUAGUAUGCGAGCGGGCAAUUCGGACACAGCACUAGUAGUAGGACUCCGGCAUCCUUCCACGGAAUUUAAACUAUUUCUAGUAGGACUCCGGCAUCCUUUCUGGUCUUUUAUAGAUUCUCUACGCGAAGCGAAUCUCAAUCAGUCCACGUUUCUUUUUAUAAAAGACCAACUCACCACUUGUCUUUCCCCUUGGCUUCGGAUUUCCGUCAACCGUCGGAUCCCAGCAGGCGGGUCGAGUCCAGUUCCUCAAAGAGGUCUUUAAGACUCAUCCUAGAGAGUCUGCCGUGGCCACGGUCUUAUCUGUCGUCCACCUCACCUGCUGGAAUCGUCAGGUCUAUUGGAAUCCGGCUCGAAGGACCAAAGAAAUGUUAGGUCUAAAACCUGCCCAAAUACCUGAAAACAUAUAAAGAAGAGAAAGACAAUGGUAUAUGCUCGAGGAGAAUGGACAGAGAUAGCAUCAGGUAAAAUCUCAAUACCACUCUGAAGGUGGUUUUCUGUCUCCCCUCUUUUAUUUAGGGUUGUCCCUGGUUACACAAUGUUUCUAAAGGGUGGGGGGAAAAUAUGUGCAGCAACGUAAGCAUUCUCAUAAAACAUAAUAAUGAACAACUGUGAAUAUGUGAAGGUCAAGGCGACAUUGUUGCAUCAAACGAGCUCCUUCUGAUAAGAGCGGAUCCUCCUCAUUACUUCCCACGAUUCACAGUGGAGGAUACAUCACACACACACACACCUGCUGAUAGGAGAAACGAGUCACAGAGAAGUUAAGAAACAUUCAUGUGCUGUGUAAUAAAGCUAUUGGAGAGAGAAGUUAGAAAAAACUCUUAUAUGAUGUGUAACAAGAGGUUAAAACAGUUCAUACUUGUAGUAAACUCUUUCAUAAGAAUAUGAGGAAUAAUGAUAACUUCUAUAUACAUUUAUGCACAUUAUUCUAACACUAACAUUGCGACUUUUUUCAACCCUGCGAUAUAUAUUGCGAUAUUAAAAAUAUAGGAAUUUUCACCAGAUGACCUGAAUAGCAUUUAAUGUUAUGCUGCACUGCUGAAAUCUUGAGGACAGUUAACCUGCACUGAUCUUACCUCUUUUUGUGAAUGUUAGAAGAAUGGCUUCUGUCUGUCUCAGAGAUAUUUUUAGCUUUUAUUGUUCUGGGACGUCAUUGUGGCGACAGAUGAACACAGAACACGUGUUUUGGUCAACAUCAUCCUUCUUUUAACCGAAAUAAUUCCAGAUAACUGACUUUCCUUUUCUUUUUGGCAACAAAUCUUCAUUUUCGGUGGUUUUCUCUUGUUCGUUGCUCAUUUUGCAAUCGUUGUUGUUGUUGUUGUUGUUAGCGGUGUUCUGCCGAGAAACGCAUGUCCUCCAAGAAUUGCAUGCACCUCGCAAAACGCGCACCGCUUAUAGUAGAGUGGUCCACGGAAAUGUACCAUUUAAAACCCAUACAGUUCUUAUUUGUUGGGCUUAACAGUCAGUAAAGUUCCGAAGGUAAUUCUCAGUGGACACGCGUUUCUCGGCUCAACACCAGCAGCCAGCGAGUACCUCCAUGUGCAGAACAUGUGCUGGGGUGGGUUUCCUCCGCUCUGAUUUUGAUUGACAGCUGGCAGAGUAGUCUGAUUGGCAACUGAGAACUGAGUCUGAUUGGCAACUGAGUAAAGGACAAAGGUGAUUGGUGGAUGCAAAGCACAUGCAGAGUCACAUGCAGUGUAUCUCAGUCAGUUACCCUUGAAAUUAACUGAGUUCAUUCACCUCCGACAUCGCAGGCUCUGCGAUGUGACUAUCGCACACACAUAUAUCGUGCAGGCCUACAAGAGAGAAAAAAAACAUACAUUUUUCGGCGGUAGGCUCGGGUCCGUAUUGGACUCUUUCCUGGUCCGGAAGUGGACCGCGGUCCACCAUAUGGAGACCACUGCUUUAGAGGAUAUAUUACUCAAUAUGACAGUCACACAUCAGCCUCAUGUUCAAUUAUACUGGACUCAAGGACACACCAUAAUGUUUUCAUCCAACCUCUCCUCAGUACAUCUUACUAUAUGAUGGGUCAAAAACAUCUUUCAAUAACACCUGGACAUUUGGGAUUUAAACCUUAAUAUAUAUUUUAUCAUAGCAGUAUGACCUAGCUAACAUACCUUUGCAUAUUCGGUCAAGAUAUUUACUUAAAAACUAUAAACCAUAACUGUCUAUGUACACACCUUGUGAUGAGCACCAAAUUUGGCUGUUACUUCUACAUAGGGCUUUUUGGUCUAUAAGGUCAACAGGGGUUAAAAUUAAAACUAACAAUUAACUCUUUCCAUCAUCCACAAAAAUCACACUGUAGUAAGCCACCACUUUCACAUUGUCUGGGCUGGGGCCCCCCACCACAUCUCCAGCCAGAGGCAUCCCUGGUCUGGGCAGUUGUCAAAAAUGUCCAGUAUGGUCACAUCCCCAGCAGGCCUUUAGACGUCACACGUCCAUCAGAAUUCCACUCUCUCCCCCUGCCGGGUUAUAUCAUCUCUAUGGAGGAGGGUUCUGUCUGAGGAUAAACAUUCACAAUACUUGUUUAAACAGGUUGCUGUAGCAGGUUUUACUGCAGUUAGCGUCUGCACGGUCUGCAUCGCUGGGUCUCUUUUGCAGUGUCCCCCUUAGAGGUGGCCACCAUUGCGGCCUGAGUCUGUACUUUGUUUCUGCUUCGCAGGUCUCCCAGCUGUAGCUGUAUCAACUUCCGCUGAAUGUUCUUUUCCUGUUCUUUCAGUCUCCACUCUUCAUUUGGCAGCACCCUCCACCUCACAUCACAAUAUGCAUUGAACUCACUCCCAUCUAUCAUGGGAUUCGUCAUCCAACCUUGUUUUGCCUUGUGCAGAAACUCCUCCAUCGUCUUGGUUCCCAGCAGUUGAGCCAAGAGUGCUUUCAAGUCUGGUGUAGUCAACAUUUUCCCUACAGUUCAUCCUCAAAAACCGAUAUCCAUCUCCCUGCCCCCUCUUCAGUUUGUGGUAGUCUGGCAAUCAGCCCAACAAGGUGUGUGGUUUUCCACGGCACAUAGCUAGCCUGUGUGCCCUUUAUUAAGAUUGAAAACAUACUAUCAGUGCAUCUUCAGGUGAACAUAAUCUAGGCCAGGGGUGUCAAACUCAACCACAGCAAGGGCCAUAAUCUAGAUUUAGGUCUAACCUCAGGGCCAAAGAGGGUCAACAUUUCACCAAAACUGUCAAUUUCCUUUUCAAAGCGUAUGGGACAAAAAUAGCAAUGAUUUUGAAUCAUUUGGAAAUUCAAAAGAGAUAAAAAAAAAAAAAAGUUUAAAGGCAACCUGAGAUGGGAAAAAUUGAGUUUUUUAUUCUAUUGAAAUUGAACGUUUAAAUCAGGUUUAAAAGGUCAAAAUAUGACUUAAAUUUUAGAAUUGGGAUGUAAAGUAUCAACAUGACACAAGUCUAAAUAUUGAGUUGAGCAAAAUCAAAGCACGAAAUAAAAAUCCAAUCAUGUUUGACUUGUAAUCUUGAGAUGCAAAAUUGAAAACAUGAAAUAUAACACCAAAUAUAUAUAUAUUUUUCCACAUUCUUGACCACUUAUCAAAUCUUCUUAAUCUUUAAUUUCCCAGAUGUUCCUGGCUUAUUAAGGAUAUUUUACAUAAAGGUGCUAAAGUUUACAUUAUUAUACUGGAAGAAAUCUGCAGACUUCAUACUGGUGGGCCAAUAAUAAUACAAAUAUGAUAUGCUCUUAUGGGCCAGAUAUAAUUGUUCCAUGGGCCAGAUUUGGCCCCCGGGCCUUGAGCCCGACACCUGUGAUCAAGGCCUAUAUCUAAGGUCAUAUUUUGUGCAGGGUCACAUGAUAUUUGCCGGCCCUGCAUCUUACCUAAGCUGGGAAGUAUUUGUGCUACUACUACUUGUACUAUUGGGUGACAGAUAGGCCUUGAGCUAGGACUCCAAAUAUGGGGUCAUCGGUAUCAACUGGGGGGAAUAAUUCUCAUAGUGAUUUUUGGGUAGGUAUACACCUCUAGUACUAGAAAAAAUGUGAUAGCAUUGCAUCUGUGGUAGCUUUCUGUGUGUUAUCACUCAAUUUAUGACCACAUGCCAAAACAGUUUUCAAAAUCCGAAUUAACCAUUCUACUUCAAACUGAUGGUUCUCUCUUAUUAAUUGACCCUAUCUCUGUGAAAAAAAUGUCAGAAUAAAGCCCAGGCUAUAUAUUGUUCAGUAGAGUUGUUGGAAUCAGCAUCUCUAGAUGUUUUUUUCUCUUAUAAGCAGUGACAACAUAGUGACGAUAUAUGUCUUUCGUUUUCAUGAAAGAUGUAACACAAAGGUUUAAUUUGUACACAACCUAAACAUGUUAAUACAUAAAACAUGGUAAGUAAUGCAUAGGCUAGAUAUUUCUACUUUAUUCUUGCUGUGAUUUAAGUUGUCACACUCACACCUGGCCUGAGUCAGUCUAAAUGGAUGGAGCUGGGUGUGCACAACACACACAUGCUGUGCAUUGAGUUAAUUGAGGCACACAGUAUAAAUCGGCCAGUCAGUAGUGGUGGAGUAGUCCCGUACAACAUAAUUCAGGGAACAGCAGAGUGUUUUUAUGUCAAGGAGCUGAAUCACUUUCCUUUAUGAUGGAGGGUCCUAAGCAGACAGAAUCGAUUAAACAGUGCAUUAUACACAAUAAAAUGUCCAAGGAUGAUGAUGAACAUUUAGUUAGUCCCCAAGACAAUAAAUCCUGGGAAACAUUACUUGAAGCAGCCAAAGUGAGAAACCAUGCCCAUAUUUUAGACGUUGCUAAAAAACUUGGAGAAAAGGAUGUGCCUACAAUUUAUUAUCACAGAAAAUGCCGAAGCCUCUUCACCAUGAAGAGGGAAUUGGAGUCAUUGAAAAAGAAAGCCAAGGAAAGCAUUACUGGUGAUGAAGAUGUUGAGUACGGCUGUGUAUCAAAAAGGCCCAAAAGGAGAUCUUCAUCAGCAUCAAGGGUGUAUGAUCAUAUCUGCAUUUUUUGAAAGAAAGAGAAGUUUUUAAAGGGCUCCAAGUCGCGUGAAAAGCUUACACAAGCUGUACAACUCAGCGCUGACCAAACUUCAAGAGAGUGUGCAACUCAAAAAGGGGAUGAAAAUAUUCUAGCAGUAACAAGCAGAGACAUAGUUGCUGCAGAGGCCCACUAUCAUGUCAUGCUAUGAAGAUUAUACACAAAUCAAGAAAAAGGAACCUGUGUGCAAAAAGAAAAAUGAGGAAACAGAUCGUGGUGAACUGUAUAAAAACAUCGAAAGGGAAGCCUAUAUUGAUCUUUUCAAAUAUAUCAGAGCUGAUAUCAUACCCAAUAAGACCAUUGUACAAGCAAUUUCUUUGGUCUCGAAACUUGAACAAUUAAUGCUGUCUAGAGGAAUUACAUGCUUGCGAGAUUAUACAAGGAAGAAUAUUCGCAGGAAUCUUGAAUCUGAGCUGGGCAAUAUAGUAAAUAUAUUCCCAGUUGAGAAAGGAAAAUUGCUGAUGGUACCACAAAGUGUAUCAUAAAGGGAUGUUGUCUUGAAAAAUCAAACACUGCAGAGGGAACUCAAAGUUUGGAGGGCCAAGUCAACCAAUUUGAACAAGAUCAUAGAUCAGACUUCAUCACAUAUUAGAUCAGUCAUAAAACAGGAGAUGACUGAGAGUCCUUGGCCUUUCCAUCCAUCUGACGUGAUAGAUAGUGGUUAUAUAUCCAUACCAGAUCAACUGAAGCGGCUACUUGUUGGACUGCUCACUGGAAAUUCAGGUUAGAGGCCAGUCCAAAAGCAGCAUUGCCAUCACCCUCUUUCAAUGUGCUUUCAAUGUGCUUCCACUGUGAUAGUAGUUUCACUGUGAUAAUAGUUCAGGGGAAAAGGAGUAUUUUGGGCAAAUUUUAAUGAGUUUUGAGCUCAUUUGCGUAUUGUUGUCUGGCGAAAUUAACAUACUUUUCCAACGAGGAUUUCAUAGGACUUAUAUUAUGUUAGUCUAGACACCUUAUAGAAAUGAUGUAUGGUGAAAAGAAACCCUUUCUAUAGGUUUUUUGGGGGGUUAAGUUGUAUGUUUUCAUAUAUUGACCCAUGUAAUUUUCGCCUAGUGUUAUAAAAUAAAAUGCAUGAUAGCACCCAUUUAGCUACCACUGCUGCAAUGCUAUCACAUAUUUUCUAUACAUGUAUACAAUGUCAAAAAUCACUAUGAGCAUUAUUCCCCUCAGUUGAUACUGACCAACCCCCCUGGCUCAUGGCCUAAGAGUUCAUGUGGCAAGUCUAUGUUAUUGUUACCCAGAUUAAACCAAUAUGACUGUUCAGCAUUAUCAUUCACAUAACAAUUACCUAUGAUCAUUACUUCAGGGAAUUGGGCAAAGGUUUGUUGUAGGCUUUGUCUCCCUCAGCAAACUCAAAAUCACAUAUAUUAACUUUCCCUAAAAGAGAAGGAUAAUUUCCUACAUUUUCUGAUACUAGAUUUGGCUGCAGAAUCUCUUUUCUGUUUUACCUAUUUUCCAUGUUUGUGACUUUCUUUUCUCCACCUUCUCCUUAUUGCUUUCUAGCUCUGCAAACCCAAUCUUUAAUUUAUUCAUAAAAUAGUGUUGGCCUUCACUUUUGAACAUGUCCAGUACUUUUAGUUCCAAAUCUCUUGUUUUUGCAUUUUUCACUUUUAUCUUUGUGUUAACGGUCUUUAAUUUGCUGCUCCAAAUCCUCACACACAGUCACAUCAGAUGUGCCUCCUCUAGGUCAUAAAAAUUCUAACCCCUUGACUCAAUGUCCCCAUUUCUUUGUAAGUUUUUGGAUAUCAUUUAAGUGCUCAGGUGUCCUGGUUUUUCUGUCUUGUCAUUUUCAUGUUUUAUUUUGAAAAAUAACUCUCCUCUCGUUUCAGGUCACUUGCCCUUCCCCUUAGAAUAGAAUAGAAUAGAAUAUUCCUUUAUUGAUUCCCCAUGGGGGAAAUUUUUUUGUCACAGCAGCAGCAGGACAAGACAGAAAGUGCAAAAUGCAGUUAUAACAAUAAGGGUCCUAAUAUUAAGAACUUAAUAAAUGUAAUAAUUAAGAAAAAAAAAAAUUGAAAAGAGAAAAGGGAGAAGAAAAAAUAAACUUUCUGCAAUAUACACAAUUUAAAUGCCAUAAAAAAAAGUGGUGGUGUAAAUCCAGUUUUGUUACUGUUCAUUGUAAAGUCUUAUUGCAGAGGGGAGGAAUGAUCUGCGGUAGCGCUCCGUCCUGCAGGGUGGGAGUCUCAGUCUGCUGCUGAAGGAGCUGCCUAAAGCCCCCACAGUCUGGUGCAGUGGGUGAGAGGGAUUGUCCAUGAUGGAUAUAAGCUUUGUUAACAUCCUCCUCUCACCCACCUCCUCCAGGGAGUCCAAAGAGCAGUCCAGGACAGAGCCGGCCCUCCUGACCAAUCUAUUCAGUCUCUUCCUGUCCCUCUCGGUGCUCCCUGCCCCCCAGCAGACCACUGCAUAGAAAAGUGCAGAUGCUACCACAGAGUCAUAGAAUGUCCUGAGCAGAGUCCUGCACACUCCAAAGGACCUCAGUCUCCUCAGCAGGUGGAGACGACUUUGGCCCUUCUUGUACAGAACGUCUGUGUUUGUUGACCAGUCCAGUUUGUUGUUGAGGUGGACACCCAGGAAUCUGUAGGACUCCACCAUCUCGAUGUCCAGACCCUGUAUGUUCACUGGAACUGUUUGAGGUGUCCCCCUCCUGCGGAAAUCCACAACCAUCUCCUUUGUCUUACUGGCGUUGAGCUGGAGGUGGUUUGUGCCACACCAGUUGACAAAGUCAGUGAUGACAGUCCUGUAUUCCCGCUCGUCCCCUGACGAUACACAUCCGACGAUGGCUGUGUCAUCAGAGAACUUCUGGAGGUGACAGCUCCCAGAGUUGUAG